rnacentral:rRNA from 1 species
GAUGAACGCUGGCGGCGUGCCUAAUACAUGCAAGUCGAGCGAACAGACGAGGAGCUUGCUCCUCUGACGUUAGCGGCGGACGGGUGAGUAACACGUGGAUAACCUACCUAUAAGACUGGGAUAACUUCGUGAAACCGGAACUAAUACCGGAUAAUAUAUUGAACCGCAUGGUUCAAUAGUGAAAGACGGUUUUGCUUUCACUUAUAGAUGGAUCCGCGCCGCAUUAGCUAGUUGGUAAGGUAACGGCUUACCAAGGCAACGAUGCGUAGCCGACCUGAGAGGGUGAUCGGCCACACUGGAACUGAGACACGGUCCAGACUCCUACGGGAGGCAGCAGUAGGGAAUCUUCCGCAAUGGGCGAAAGCUUGACGGAGCAACGCCGCGUGAGUGAUGAAGGUCUUCGGAUCGUAAAACUCUGUUAUUAGGGAAGAACAAAUGUGUAAGUAACUAUGCACGUCUUGACGGUACCUAAUCAGAAAGCCACGGCUAACUCCGUG